rnacentral:rRNA from 1 species
UACGUAGGGGGCAAGCGUUGUCCGGAAUCAUUGGGCGUAAAGAGCGUGUAGGCGGUUCGGUAAGUCGGCUGUGAAAGUCCAGGGCUCAACCCUGGGAUGCCGGUCGAUACUGCCGGACUAGAGUUCGGAAGAGGCGAGUGGAAUUCCCGGUGUAGCGGUGAAAUGCGCAGAUAUCGGGAGGAACACCUAUGGCGAAGGCAGCUCGCUGGGACGUUACUGACGCUGAGGCGCGAAAGCUGGGGGAGCAAACGGG